rnacentral:rRNA from 1 species
UAGGAAUCUGCCCGAUAGUGGGGGAUAACCUGGGGAAACCCAGGCUAAUACCGCAUACGUCCUACGGGAGAAAGCAGGGGACCUUCGGGCCUUGCGCUAUCGGAUGAGCCUAUGUCGGAUUAGCUGGUUGGUGAGGUAAUGGCUCACCAAGGCAACGAUCCGUAGCUGGUCUGAGAGGAUGAUCAGCCACAUCGGGACUGAGACACGGCCCGAACUCCUACGGGAGGCAGCAGUGGGGAAUAUUGGACAAUGGGGGCAACCCUGAUCCAGCCAUGCCGCGUGUGUGAAGAAGGCCUUCGGGUUGUAAAGCACUUUCAGUGAGGAAGAAGGCCUUGGGGCUAAUACCCUCGAGGAAGGACAUCACUCACAGAAGAAGCACCGGCUAACUCCGUGCCAGCAGCCGCGGUAAUACGGAGGGUGCGAGCGUUAAUCGGAAUUACUGGGCGUAAAGCGCGCGUAGGUGGCUUGAUAAGCCGGUUGUGAAAGCCCCGGGCUCAACCUGGGAACGGCAUCCGGAACUGUCAGGCUAGAGUGCAGGAGAGGAAGGUAGAAUUCCCGGUGUAGCGGUGAAAUGCGUAGAGAUCGGGAGGAAUACCAGUGGCGAAGGCGGCCUUCUGGACUGACACUGACACUGAGGUGCGAAAGCGUGGGUAGCAAACAGGAUUAGAUACCCUGGUAGUCCACGCCGUAAACGAUGUCGACUAGCUGUUGGGUCCCUCGCGGACUUUGUGGCGCAGUUAACGCGAUAAGUCGACCGCCUGGGGAGUACGGCCGCAAGGUUAAAACUCAAAUGAAUUGACGGGGGCCCGCACAAGCGGUGGAGCAUGUGGUUUAAUUCGAUGCAACGCGAAGAACCUUACCUACCCUUGACAUCCUCGGAAUCUGUCGGAGACGACGGAGUGCCUUCGGGAACCGAGUGACAGGUGCUGCAUGGCUGUCGUCAGCUCGUGUUGUGAAAUGUUGGGUUAAGUCCCGUAACGAGCGCAACCCUUGUCCCUAUUUGCCAGCGAUUCGGUCGGGAACUCUAGGGAGACUGCCGGUGACAAACCGGAGGAAGGUGGGGACGACGUCAAGUCAUCAUGGCCCUUACGGGUAGGGCUACACACGUGCUACAAUGGCCGGUACAAAGGGUUGCGAAGCCGCGAGGUGGAGCUAAUCCCGAAAAGCUGGUCUCAGUCCGGAUCGGAGUCUGCAACUCGACUCCGUGAAGUCGGAAUCGCUAGUAAUCGUGAAUCAGAAUGUCACGGUGAAUACGUUCCCGGGCCUUGUACACACCGCCCGUCACACCA